GCCACAGCAGUGAGAGGCCUGCGUACCGGGAAAAAAAAAAAAAAAAAAAAAGAAUUUACAGACUAGUAGAGGCAAAAGACCAACACAACUAAGCCACCCUGCAAGGCUUAAUGUUCUGAGUAGCAGAGGAGGGGGACAGAUAGGAGGGCAGAGAUAAAGAGGCCAGACGUCAUGUGCUCUCUGCAGAAAGAGACACAGCUCCUCUACUGUAAAAGUCAGCACCACAGAUGAGAGCUCCUUUAACUUCCCUGUCCCCACAAACUGGCUACUGUGCUCAUCUUUCUCUCUUCCUUCUAUUCCCAGUGAAAGAGAUGUCUUUCCUCACUUUUGUCCUCAGGAUAUCUUCCACUUCUCCCCUCUUACCCUCAGCAUAUGGAGUUCAGGUCUGUCAUUGGUGAAAAUAAACUCCUCCUUAACUUCUUUCAGUCCUCAAGCUUCCAAUCUUUCUCCUCACCAUUAAAGCCAAGGCCCUGGACAUGUCUUUAUCAUGCUAUAAUUGCUGGCUUGCUGAUCUAGCUCCCCACUAGACUGAAAGUGUUGCUGGUGGGGAGACCAUGUCUUACUCAUCUGUCUCCCAGUGCCCGGCACAGAGCCCACUGCAGAGUACGUAUGUGCUCAGUAAGUGUUGUGUUGAAGGAAUACAUGAAUGCACCAAGGGAUUUUAAUAAACAUUUUCAUUUGCAGCUAACUUAGAGUAGCUCUUUGAAGUUGAAUGAAUGAAUGAAUGAAAAACUAACCCCAUCAAGGCUAGGAGAUUCUAAGUGAUUUGCUUAGUCUCACCUAGCAAGAAGAGCCUGGCCUCAAAUCUAGGUCUUCUUGGACUCUUCUGUCUACACCACUGUUUUCUCCCUCACACCCCACACACAAGGCAGCAUCAGAGAGGCUCCAAGCAGUCUUAGUCUCAGCAACAAUACUACAAGUUAGCAUUUAUUGAGUACUUACUACAUGCCAGGCAUGGUUCCAAGGGUUUUUCCAUAGAGUAUCUCUAAUAUUCACAGGAACCCUAAGGGACGAAUACUAUUUAUUAACCCAGUUUACAGAUGAAAAUACUGAGGCUUAAAGAAGAUAACUAAUUAAAGUGUCAUAAGUGUUAAAUGAUAGCUGGGAUAUGAAUGUAGAUUUGUCAAUGGUAAAUGUGGAGUUCAAUUCCAAUCUCAUGUUUACCACCUCAAAUCCCCCAUAAAUCUCUUGUCUUUUCUUCCCCAACCUCACCGUGGUAGCCUGUAGAGGACUCCCGUUGGCUCAUAGCCUUCUGUGGCUUUGUUUUCACCUCUGAAAAGAGCGGUCACAUCUGCUGAGGGGUUUCCCUACUUUACAGGAAUAAUGCCAAUAUGAAUAUUCUUGUACAUGUAUUUUGAUGCCCAAGUGCCUGAGGAGAUUUCCGGGAUCAAAGGGUAUGCAUAUAUAUCUUUGAUUUUACUAGAAAAUGGCAAACUGUCUUCCAAAAUGGUUGUACCAAUCUAUAACCUCAGUAGUAGUGCAUGAGAGUUUCCAGUGCCAUCUGCUGAGAAAUUGUUUGAAUACAUAUACAAAUCUACUAUGUCUACACAAUAGAUGUUGUGAGGUUGUAUAGUGCACAACCUGAACAUCUGUAUAUGAGAGGCUGGAGAUCAAAUACCUUUUCUCUUUUUUAUUUCUUCUUUUUUUUUCAGUGGGAGCCAGAAUAGACAUAAUACCUAUACCCAAAAGCCUACAUCCAUAAGGACAUUCUGAGGUCAACCAAGAGAUGUGAGCUCUGAAGUUUCACCACUUUUUAAAAAUCUUCUCUCAUUCAUGAGAUUAUAGUAGUGGCAGCCAUUUUGUACCAUUUUAUACAAUUUAGUCAUGCCACCAGCCCCAGUCAUAGUUGAUAAACCAUAAGCAAAUGUUGACCAAGCUAGUGUAAUCAGAGACCUUUCUCCCAGAAUGAGGAAUAAAGAGAUUAAAUUUUUGUAUCAUGUAGGUGGUUAUAUGUAGGGCACGCAAAAACCCAGUUUUCAGAGAGAAAGAGAGAUUGUAGAAAAAAUAAAUCACACCCUUAGAGGAUAGAUGAGCAAAGGAAAACAGAGAAUCUUAGUCAUUUUUAUAGUUGUUUGUUCUUUCCAGAAAUUUCUUCAGGUUAAGCUGCACUCCAAUCUUUUGGUGACUUAGCACCUUCAUUUUAGAAUUCCCCAAUUUGUGUUAGCACUGGUUUGCCUUGGUAUGUACGUAUUUGCAACAACUUAAAUGUGAAAUCCAUAAAGGCAAUGAGUUUUGUUGGUUUUGUUCACUAUUAUGCCUCUUAGCAUCUAAAAUAAUUCUUGCACCUAGAACUCUCUCAGUAAGUAGCUGUUUUUUUUUUUUUUUUUUUUUUUGGCGGUACGCAGGCCUUUCACUGUUGUGGCCUCUCCCGCUGCAGAGCACAGGCUCAGGACGCGCAGGCU